rnacentral:rRNA from 1 species
GACGAACCGUACGAACGUUAUUCGGAAUCACUGGGCUUAAAGGGUGCGUAGGCGGCGCAGAAAGUUGGGUGUGAAAUCCCUCGGCUCAACCGAGGAACUGCGCCCAAAACUACUGUGCUCGAGGGAGACAGAGGUGAGCGGAACUUAGGGUGGAGCGGUGAAAUGCGUUGAUAUCCUAAGGAACACCGGUGGCGAAAGCGGCUCACUGGGCAUUAACUGACGCUGAGGAGCGAAAGCAUGGGGAGCGAACAGG